rnacentral:rRNA from 1 species
AUUGAACGCUGGCGGCAGGCCUAACACAUGCAAGUCGAGCGGUAGAGAGGUGCUUGCAUCUCUUGAGAGCGGCGGACGGGUGAGUAAUGCCUAGGAAUCUGCCUAGUGGUGGGGGAUAACGUUCGGAAACGGACGCUAAUACCGCAUACGUCCUACGGGAGAAAGCGGGGGGAUCUUCGGACCUCGCGCCAUUAGAUGAGCCUAGGUCGGAUUAGCUAGUUGGUGAGGUAAUGGCUCACCAAGGCGACGAUCCGUAACUGGUCUGAGAGGAUGAUCAGUCACACUGGAACUGAGACACGGUCCAGACUCCUACGGGAGGCAGCAGUGGGGAAUAUUGGACAAUGGGCGAAAGCCUGAUCCAGCCAUGCCGCGUGUGUGAAGAAGGUCUUCGGAUUGUAAAGCACUUUAAGUUUAGGGAGGAAGGGUAGGUAACCUAAUACGUUAGUCUACUUUGACGUUACCGACAGAAUAAG